UGUAGUUCAGUUGGUAGAACGGCGGACUGUUAAUCCGUAUGUCACUGGUUCGAGUCCAGUC
rnacentral:tRNA from 1 species